rnacentral:rRNA from 1 species
UCUGAUGGGACUGCCGGUGACAAACCGGAGGAAGGUGGGGAUGACGUCAAGUCCUCAUGGCCCUUAUAGGUGGGGCUACACACGUCAUACAAUGGCCGGUACAAAGGGCAGCCAACCCGCGAGGGGGGAGCCCAAUCCCAUAAAGCCGGUCGUAGUCCGGAUCGCAGUCUGCAACUCGACUGCGUGAAGUCGGAAUCGCUAGUAAUCGUGGAUCAGUAUGUCACGGUGAAUACGUUCCCGGGUCUU